ACGGGAGGCAGCAGUGGGGAAUAUUGGACAAUGGGGGAAACCCUGAUCCAGCGACGCCGCGUGAGUGAAGAAGUAUUUCGGUAUGUAAAGCUCUAUCAGCAAGAAAGAAAAUGACGGUACUUGACUAAGAAGCCCCGGCUAACUACGUGCCAGCAGCCGCGGUAAUACGUAGGGGGCAAGCGUUAUCCGGAUUUACUGGGUGUAAAGGGAGCGUAGACGGCGAUGCAAGUCUGAAGUGAAAGCCCGGGGCUCAACCCCGGAACUGCUUUGGAAACUGUAUAGCUAGAGUGCAGGAGAGGUAUGUGGAAUUCCUAGUGUAGCGGUGAAAUGCGUAGAUAUUAGGAGGAACACCAGUGGCGAAGGCGACAUACCGGACUGUAACUGACGUUGAGGCUCGAAGGCGUGGGGAGCAAACAGGAUUAGAUACCCUGGUA
rnacentral:rRNA from 1 species